CAGUCGCCGCGGUAAGACAGAGGAUGCAAGCGUUAUCCGGAAUGAUUGGGCGUAAAGCGUCUGUAGGUGGCUUUUCAAGUCCGCCGUCAAAUCCCAGGGCUCAACCCUGGACAGGCGGUGGAAACUACCAAGCUGGAGUACGAUAGGGGCAGAGGGAAUUUCCGGUGGAGCGGUGAAAUGCGUUGAGAUCGGAAAGAAUACCAACGGUGAAAGCACUCUGCUGGACCGACACUGACACUGAGAGACGAAAGCUAGGGGAGCAAAUGGGAUUAGAUACCCCGGUAGUCCCUGUCUCUUAUAA
rnacentral:rRNA from 1 species